rnacentral:rRNA from 1 species
AGCGUAUAUUAAAGUUGUUGUGGUUAAAAAGCUCGUAGUUGAACCUUGGGCCUGGCUGGCCGGUCCGCCUCACCGCGUGUACUGGUCCGGCCGGGCCUUUCCCUCUGUGGAACCCCAUGCCCUUCACUGGGUGUGGCGGGGAAACAGGACUUUUACUGUGAAAAAAUUAGAGUGCUCCAGGCAGGCCUAUGCUCGAAUACAUUAGCAUGGAAUAAUARAAUAGGACGUGUGGUUCUAUUUUGUUGGUUUCUAGGACCGCCGUAAUGAUUAAUAGGGACAGUCGGGGGCAUCAGUAUUCAAUUGUCAGAGGUGAAAUUCUUGGAUUURUUGARGACUAACUACUGCGAAAGCRUUUGSCAAGGAUGUUUUCAUUAAUCAGGAACAAARGUUAGGGGAKCGAAGARWAUCASAUACMG